rnacentral:rRNA from 1 species
AACGAACGCUGGCGGCAGGCCUAACACAUGCAAGUCGAGCGAGCAUUUCGGUGCUAGCGGCGGACGGGUGAGUAACGCGUGGGAACGUGCCCUUUUCUGCGGAAUAGUCCUGGGAAACUGGGGGUAAUACCGCAUACGCCCUUUUGGGGAAAGAUUUAUCGGAGAAGGAUCGGCCCGCGUUGGAUUAGGUAGUUGGUGGGGUAAUGGCCCACCAAGCCGACGAUCCAUAGCUGGUUUGAGAGGAUGAUCAGCCACACUGGGACUGAGACACGGCCCAGACCCCUACGGGAGGCAGCAGUGGGGAAUCUUAGACAAUGGGGGCAACCCUGAUCGAGCCAUGCCGCGUGAGUGAUGAAGGCCUUAGGGUUGUAAAGCUCUUUCAGCUGGGAAGAUAAUGACGGUACCAGCAGAAGAAGCCCCGGCUAACUCCGUG